UACAGGGGGGGCAAGCGUUGUUCGGAAUUACUGGGCGUAAAGGGUUCGUAGGUGGCCACUUAAGUCAGACGUGAAAUCCCUCAGCUCAACUGGGGAACUGCGUCUGAUACUGAGUGGCUUGAGUGCAGGAGAGGAAUGCGGAAUUCCAGGUGUAGCGGUGAAAUGCGUAGAUAUCUGGAGGAACACCGGUGGCGAAGGCGGCAUUCUGGACUGUAACUGACACUGAGGAACGAAAGCCAGGGGAGCAAACGGG
rnacentral:rRNA from 1 species